rnacentral:rRNA from 1 species
UACGUAGGGCGCAAGCGUUGUCCGGAAUUAUUGGGCGUAAAGAGCUCGUAGGCGGCCUGUCGCGUCUGCUGUGAAAUCCCGGGGCUUAACCCCGGGCGUGCAGUGGAUACGGGCUGGCUGGAGGCAGGCAGGGGAGAAUGGAAUUCCCGGUGUAGCGGUGAAAUGCGCAGAUAUCGGGAGGAACACCGGAGGCGAAGGCGGUUCUCUGGGCCUGUUCUGACGCUGAGGAGCGAAAGCGUGGGGAGCGAACAGG